rnacentral:rRNA from 1 species
GGUGUAGCGGUGGAAUGCGCAGAUAUCAGGAGGAACACCGGUGGCGAAGGCGGGUCUCUGGGCAGUAACUGACGCUGAGGAGCGAAAGCGUGGGUAGCGAACAGGAUUAGAUACCCUGGUAGUCCACGCCGUAAACGGUGGGCGCUAGGUGUGGGUUUCCUUCCACGGGAUCCGUGCCGUAGCUAACGCAUUAAGCGCCCCGCCUGGGGAGUACGGCCGCAAGGCUAAAACUCAAAGGAAUUGACGGGGGCCCGCACAAGCGGCGGAGCAUGUGGAUUAAUUCGAUGCAACGCGAAGAACCUUACCUGGGUUUGACAUACACCGGACCGCCCCAGAGAUGGGGUUUCCCUUGUGGUCGGUGUACAGGUGGUGCAUGGUUGUCGUCAGCUCG